rnacentral:rRNA from 2 species
GGUGGUUUGUCGCGUUGUUCGUGAAAACUCACAGCUUAACUGUGGGCGUGCGGGCGAUACGGGCAGACUGGAGUACUGCAGGGGAGACUGGAAUUCCUGGUGUAGCGGUGGAAUGCGCAGAUAUCAGGAGGAACACCGGUGGCGAAGGCGGGUCUCUGGGCAGUAACUGACGCUGAGGAGCGAAAGCGUGGGGAGCGAACAGGAUUAGAUACCCUGGUAGUCCACGCCGUAAACGGUGGGUACUAGGUGUGGGUUUCCUUCCUUGGGAUCCGUGCCGUAGCUAACGCAUUAAGUACCCCGCCUGGGGAGUACGGCCGCAAGGCUAAAACUCAAAGGAAUUGACGGGGGCCCGCACAAGCGGCGGAGCAUGYGGAUUAAUUCGAUGCAACGCGAAGAACCUUACCUGGGUUUGACAUGCACAGGACGYCGGCAGAGAUGUCGGUUCCCUUGUGGCCUGUGUGCAGGUGGUGCAU